ACCUUGAGCAUAUAUGCUGUGACCCGAAAGAUGGUGAACUAUACUUGAUCAGGUUGAAGUCAGGGGAAACCCUGAUGGAAGACCGAAACAGUUCUGACGUGCAAAUCGAUUGUCAGAAUUGAGUAUAGGGGCGAAAGACCAAUCGAACCAUCUAGUAGCUGGUUCCUUCCGAAGUUUCCCUCAGGAUAGCUGGUGCAUUUUAAUGUUAUAUAAAAUAAUCUUAUCUGGUAAAGCGAAUGAUUAGAGGCCUUAGGGUCGAAACGAUCUUAACCUAUUCUCAAACUUUAAAUGGGUAAGAACCUUAACUUUCUUGAUAUGAAGUUUAAGGUUAUGAUAUAAUGUGCCCAGUGGGCCACUUUUGGUAAGCAGAACUGGCGCUGUGGGAUGAACCAAACGUAAUGUUACGGUGCCCAAAUUAACAACUCAUGCAGAAACCAUGAAAGGCGUUGGUUGCUUAAAACAGCAGGACGGUGAUCAUGGAAGUCGAAAUCCGCUAAGGAGNUAAAAUGGAUGGCGCUUAAGUUGUAUACCUAUACAUUACCGCUAAAGUAGAUGAUUUAUAUUACUUGUGAUAUAAAUUUUGAAACUUUAGUGAGUAGGAAGGUACAAUGGUAAGCGUAGAAGUGUUUGGCGUAAGCCUGCAUGGAGCUGCCAUUGGCACAGAUCUUGGUGGUAGUAGCAAAUAAUCGAAUGAGACCUUGA
rnacentral:rRNA from 1 species